rnacentral:rRNA from 2 species
GAUUUCUGGCUUUUUCCCUUAUGCCGGCCGCGGUUUCGCGUGUUAGUGCAUGAGGUUCUGGCCAUCCUUCCAUUGCUGCUUACUUGUCUUCAUUGCCAGGUAGGUGGUAUUGGAUCUUUUACUUUGAAAAAAUUAGAGUGUUUCAAGCAGGCUUUAUGCUAUGAAUACAUUAGCAUGGAAUAAUAAUUUAGGACUUCGGUUCUAUUUUGUUGGUUUCUAGGACUGAAGUAAUGAUUGAUAGGGAUAGUUGGGGGUGCUAGUAUUCAGCGGCCAGAGGUGAAAUUCUCGGAUUCGCUGAAGACUAACUUAUGCGAAAGCAUU